UUUGGUUAAGUUAGAAAGGGCGCACGGUGGAUGCCUUGACACUAGGAGUCGAUGAAGGACGGGACUAACGCCGAUAUGCUUCGGGGAGCUGUAAGUAAGCUUUGAUCCGAAGAUUUCCGAAUGGGGAAACCCACCAUACGUAAUGGUAUGGUAUCCUUAUCUGAAUACAUAGGGUAAGGAAGACAGACCCAGGGAACUGAAACAUCUAAGUACCUGGAGGAAGAGAAAGCAAAUGCGAUUUCCUGAGUAGCGGCGAGCGAAACGGAACAUAGCCCAAACCAAGAGGCUUGCCUCUUGGGUUGUAGGACAUUCUAUACGGAGUUACAAAGGAACGAGGUAGACGAAGCGACCUGGAAAGGUCCGUCGUAGAGGGUAACAACCCCGUAGUCGAAACUUCGUUCUCUCUUGAAUGUAUCCUGAGUACGGCGGAACACGUGAAAUUCCGUCGGAAUCUGGGAGGACCAUCUCCCAAGGCUAAAUACUCCCUAGUGAUCGAUAGUGAACCAGUACCGUGAGGGAAAGGUGAAAAGCACCCCGGAAGGGGAGUGAAAGAGAUCCUGAAACCGUGUGCCUACAAAUAGUCAGAGCCCGUUAACGGGUGAUGGCGUGCCUUUUGUAGAAUGAACCGGCGAGUUACGAUCCCGUGCGAGGUUAAGCUGAAGAGGCGGAGCCGCAGCGAAAGCGAGUCUGAAUAGGGCGUUUAGUACGUGGUCGUAGACCCGAAACCAGGUGAUCUACCCAUGUCCAGGGUGAAGUUCAGGUAACACUGAAUGGAGGCCCGAACCCACGCACGUUGAAAAGUGCGGGGAUGAGGUGUGGGUAGCGGAGAAAUUCCAAUCGAACCUGGAGAUAGCUGGUUCUCCCCGAAAUAGCUUUAGGGCUAGCCUUAAGUGUAAGAGUCUUGGAGGUAGAGCACUGAUUGGACUAGGGGUCCUCAUCGGAUUACCGAAUUCAGUCAAACUCCGAAUGCCAAUGACUUAUCCUUAGGAGUCAGACUGCGAGUGAUAAGAUCCGUAGUCAAAAGGGAAACAGCCCAGACCGCCAGCUAAGGUCCCAAAGUGUGUAUUAAGUGGAAAAGGAUGUGGAGUUGCUUAGACAACUAGGAUGUUGGCUUAGAAGCAGCCACCAUUUAAAGAGUGCGUAAUAGCUCACUAGUCGAGUGACUCUGCGCCGAAAAUGUACCGGGGCUAAAUACACCACCGAAGCUGCGGAUUGAUACCAAUGGUAUCAGUGGUAGGGGAGCGUUCUAAGGACAGUGAAGUCAGACCGGAAGGACUGGUGGAGUGCUUAGAAGUGAGAAUGCCGGUAUGAGUAGCGAAAGACGGGUGAGAAUCCCGUCCACCGAAUGCCUAAGGUUUCCUGAGGAAGGCUCGUCCGCUCAGGGUUAGUCAGGACCUAAGCCGAGGCCGACAGGCGUAGGCGAUGGACAACAGGUUGAUAUUCCUGUACCACCUCUUUAUCGUUUGAGCAAUGGAGGGACGCAGAAGGAUAGAAGAAGCGUGCGAUUGGUUGUGCACGUCCAAGCAGUUAGGCUGAUAAGUAGGCAAAUCCGCUUAUCGUAAAGGCUGAGCUGUGAUGGGGAAGCUCCUUAUGGAGCGAAGUCUUUGAUUCCCCGCUGCCAAGAAAAGCUUCUAGCGAGAUAAAAGGUGCCUGUACCGCAAACCGACACAGGUAGGCGAGGAGAGAAUCCUAAGGUGUGCGAGAGAACUCUGGUUAAGGAACUCGGCAAAAUGACCCCGUAACUUCGGGAGAAGGGGUGCUUUCUUAACGGAAAGCCGCAGUGAAUAGGCCCAAGCGACUGUUUAGCAAAAACACAGCUCUCUGCGAAGCCGUAAGGCGAAGUAUAGGGGGUGACACCUGCCCGGUGCUGGAAGGUUAAGGAGAGGGGUUAGCGUAAGCGAAGCUCUGAACUGAAGCCCCAGUAAACGGCGGCCGUAACUAUAACGGUCCUAAGGUAGCGAAAUUCCUUGUCGGGUAAGUUCCGACCCGCACGAAAGGUGUAACGAUUUGGGCACUGUCUCAACCAGAGACUCGGUGAAAUUAUAGUACCUGUGAAGAUGCAGGUUACCCGCGACAGGACGGAAAGACCCCGUGGAGCUUUACUGUAGCCUGAUAUUGAAUUUUGGUACAGUUUGUACAGGAUAGGCGGGAGCCUUUGAAACCGGAGCGCUAGCUUCGGUGGAGGCGCUGGUGGGAUACCGCCCUGACUGUAUUGAAAUUCUAACCUACGGGUCUUAUCGACCCGGGAGACAGUGUCAGGUGGGCAGUUUGACUGGGGCGGUCGCCUCCUAAAGUGUAACGGAGGCGCCCAAAGGUUCCCUCAGAAUGGUUGGAAAUCAUUCGUAGAGUGCAAAGGCAUAAGGGAGCUUGACUGCGAGACCUACAAGUCGAGCAGGGACGAAAGUCGGGCUUAGUGAUCCGGUGGUUCCGCAUGGAAGGGCCAUCGCUCAACGGAUAAAAGCUACCCCGGGGAUAACAGGCUUAUCUCCCCCAAGAGUCCACAUCGACGGGGAGGUUUGGCACCUCGAUGUCGGCUCAUCGCAUCCUGGGGCUGUAGUCGGUCCCAAGGGUUGGGCUGUUCGCCCAUUAAAGCGGUACGCGAGCUGGGUUCAGAACGUCGUGAGACAGUUCGGUCCCUAUCCGUCGUGGGCGUAGGAAAUUUGAGAGGAGCUGUCCUUAGUACGAGAGGACCGGGAUGGACGCACCGCUGGUGUACCAGUUGUUCUGCCAAGGGCAUAGCUGGGUAGCUAUGUGCGGAAGGGAUAAGUGCUGAAAGCAUCUAAGCAUGAAGCCCCCUCAAGAUGAGAUUUCCCAUAGCGUAAGCUAGUAAGAUCCCUGAAAGAUGAUCAGGUUGAUAGGUUCGAGGUGGAAGCAUGGUGACAUGUGGAGCUGACGAAUACUAAUAGAUCGAGGACUUAACCAUAUAA
rnacentral:rRNA from 1 species